GGUUAAGCGACUAAGCGUACACGGUGGAUGCCCUGGCAGUCAGAGGCGAUGAAGGACGUGCUAAUCUGCGAUAAGCGUCGGUAAGGUGAUAUGAACCGUUAUAACCGGCGAUUUCCGAAUGGGGAAACCCAGUGUGAUUCGUCACACUAUCAUUAACUGAAUCCAUAGGUUAAUGAGGCGAACCGGGGGAACUGAAACAUCUAAGUACCCCGAGGAAAAGAAAUCAACCGAGAUUCCCCCAGUAGCGGCGAGCGAACGGGGAGCAGCCCAGAGCCUGAAUCAGUGUGUGUGUUAGUGGAAGCGUCUGGAAAGGCGUGCGAUACAGGGUGACAGCCCCGUACACAAAAAUGCACAUGCUGUGAGCUCGAUGAGUAGGGCGGGACACGUGGUAUCCUGUCUGAAUAUGGGGGGACCAUCCUCCAAGGCUAAAUACUCCUGACUGACCGAUAGUGAACCAGUACCGUGAGGGAAAGGCGAAAAGAACCCCGGCGAGGGGAGUGAAAAAGAACCUGAAACCGUGUACGUACAAGCAGUGGGAGCACGCUUAGGCGUGUGACUGCGUACCUUUUGUAUAAUGGGUCAGCGACUUAUAUUCUGUAGCAAGGUUAACCGAAUAGGGGAGCCGAAGGGAAACCGAGUCUUAACUGGGCGUUAAGUUGCAGGGUAUAGACCCGAAACCCGGUGAUCUAGCCAUGGGCAGGUUGAAGGUUGGGUAACACUAACUGGAGGACCGAACCGACUAAUGUUGAAAAAUUAGCGGAUGACUUGUGGCUGGGGGUGAAAGGCCAAUCAAACCGGGAGAUAGCUGGUUCUCCCCGAAAGCUAUUUAGGUAGCGCCUCGUGAAUUCAUCUCCGGGGGUAGAGCACUGUUUCGGCAAGGGGGUCAUCCCGACUUACCAACCCGAUGCAAACUGCGAAUACCGGAGAAUGUUAUCACGGGAGACACACGGCGGGUGCUAACGUCCGUCGUGAAGAGGGAAACAACCCAGACCGCCAGCUAAGGUCCCAAAGUCAUGGUUAAGUGGGAAACGAUGUGGGAAGGCCCAGACAGCCAGGAUGUUGGCUUAGAAGCAGCCAUCAUUUAAAGAAAGCGUAAUAGCUCACUGGUCGAGUCGGCCUGCGCGGAAGAUGUAACGGGGCUAAACCAUGCACCGAAGCUGCGGCAGCGACACUAUGUGUUGUUGGGUAGGGGAGCGUUCUGUAAGCCUGUGAAGGUGUGCUGUGAGGUAUGCUGGAGGUAUCAGAAGUGCGAAUGCUGACAUAAGUAACGAUAAAGCGGGUGAAAAGCCCGCUCGCCGGAAGACCAAGGGUUCCUGUCCAACGUUAAUCGGGGCAGGGUGAGUCGACCCCUAAGGCGAGGCCGAAAGGCGUAGUCGAUGGGAAACAGGUUAAUAUUCCUGUACUUGGUGUUACUGCGAAGGGGGGACGGAGAAGGCUAUGUUGGCCGGGCGACGGUUGUCCCGGUUUAAGCGUGUAGGCUGGUUUUCCAGGCAAAUCCGGAAAAUCAAGGCUGAGGCGUGAUGACGAGGCACUACGGUGCUGAAGCAACAAAUGCCCUGCUUCCAGGAAAAGCCUCUAAGCAUCAGGUAACAUCAAAUCGUACCCCAAACCGACACAGGUGGUCAGGUAGAGAAUACCAAGGCGCUUGAGAGAACUCGGGUGAAGGAACUAGGCAAAAUGGUGCCGUAACUUCGGGAGAAGGCACGCUGAUAUGUAGGUGAAGCGACUUGCUCGUGGAGCUGAAAUCAGUCGAAGAUACCAGCUGGCUGCAACUGUUUAUUAAAAACACAGCACUGUGCAAACACGAAAGUGGACGUAUACGGUGUGACGCCUGCCCGGUGCCGGAAGGUUAAUUGAUGGGGUCAGCGCAAGCGAAGCUCUUGAUCGAAGCCCCGGUAAACGGCGGCCGUAACUAUAACGGUCCUAAGGUAGCGAAAUUCCUUGUCGGGUAAGUUCCGACCUGCACGAAUGGCGUAAUGAUGGCCAGGCUGUCUCCACCCGAGACUCAGUGAAAUUGAACUCGCUGUGAAGAUGCAGUGUACCCGCGGCAAGACGGAAAGACCCCGUGAACCUUUACUAUAGCUUGACACUGAACAUUGAGCCUUGAUGUGUAGGAUAGGUGGGAGGCUUUGAAGUGUGGACGCCAGUCUGCAUGGAGCCGACCUUGAAAUACCACCCUUUAAUGUUUGAUGUUCUAACGUUGACCCGUGAUCCGGGUUGCGGACAGUGUCUGGUGGGUAGUUUGACUGGGGCGGUCUCCUCCUAAAGAGUAACGGAGGAGCACGAAGGUUGGCUAAUCCUGGUCGGACAUCAGGAGGUUAGUGCAAUGGCAUAAGCCAGCUUGACUGCGAGCGUGACGGCGCGAGCAGGUGCGAAAGCAGGUCAUAGUGAUCCGGUGGUUCUGAAUGGAAGGGCCAUCGCUCAACGGAUAAAAGGUACUCCGGGGAUAACAGGCUGAUACCGCCCAAGAGUUCAUAUCGACGGCGGUGUUUGGCACCUCGAUGUCGGCUCAUCACAUCCUGGGGCUGAAGUAGGUCCCAAGGGUAUGGCUGUUCGCCAUUUAAAGUGGUACGCGAGCUGGGUUUAGAACGUCGUGAGACAGUUCGGUCCCUAUCUGCCGUGGGCGCUGGAGAACUGAGGGGGGCUGCUCCUAGUACGAGAGGACCGGAGUGGACGCAUCACUGGUGUUCGGGUUGUCAUGCCAAUGGCACUGCCCGGUAGCUAAAUGCGGAAGAGAUAAGUGCUGAAAGCAUCUAAGCACGAAACUUGCCCCGAGAUGAGUUCUCCCUGACUCCUUGAGAGUCCUGAAGGAACGUUGAAGACGACGACGUUGAUAGGCCGGGUGUGUAAGCGCAGCGAUGCGUUGAGCUAACCGGUACUAAUGAACCGUGAGGCUUAACCUU
rnacentral:rRNA from 1 species